CUGGGAACAGCACAGCCGCAUAUCCGACUUCGUCGCGCAGGCCUCGCGCCUCGCGGCUUGGGAGUGCGGACGUGC
rnacentral:ncRNA from 1 species